rnacentral:pre_miRNA from 1 species
UCAACUCAUUCUCUCGCGUAGCGUGUAGCGCGUGCUAAACGAGACGUUAAGCACGAGAGUCAGAAUCCGUUACUCGCGCACAGCGCACAGCACAGACUAAGUGGACAAAACUGACACAGAACACGCUAAGCGAGAGGAGCUCGCUAAGCACA